UACGAAGGGGGCUAGCGUUGCUCGGAAUCACUGGGCGUAAAGGGUGCGUAGGCGGGUCUUUAAGUCAGGGGUGAAAUCCUGGAGCUCAACUCCAGAACUGCCUUUGAUACUGAGGAUCUUGAGUUCGGGAGAGGUGAGUGGAACUGCGAGUGUAGAGGUGAAAUUCGUAGAUAUUCGGAAGAACACCAGUGGCGAAGGCGACUCACUGGCCCGAUACUGACGCUGAGGCGCGGAAAGCGUGG
rnacentral:rRNA from 1 species